rfam:Staphylococcus pettenkoferi VCT012 contig00027, whole genome shotgun sequence.
CCGUGCUAGGUGGGGAGGUAGCGGUUCCCUGUACUUGAAAGCCGCUUAUGCAAGACUUAACCCCUUUGCCGAGGGUGUAUCUUUGUAAAGUCUGCCCAAAAUACGUAGUGUUUGAAGAUUUCGGUCCUAUGCAAUACGAACCCAUGAAUCAUGUCAGGUCCUGACGGAAGCAGCAUUAAGUGGAUCCUCGUAUGUGCCGUAGGGUAGCCGAAAUUUAGCUAACGACUUUGGUAACGUUUAUGAGAUACACUCGACGCGAAGGUGCACGG